GACGAACGCUGGCGGCGUGCUUAACACAUGCAAGUCGAACGAAGAGCGAUGGAAGCUUGCUUCUAUCAAUCUUAGUGGCGAACGGGUGAGUAACGCGUAAUCAACCUGCCCUUCAGAGGGGGACAACAGUUGGAAACGACUGCUAAUACCGCAUACGAUCUGACCUCGGCAUCGAGGAUAGAUGAAAGGUGGCCUCUAUUUAUAAGCUAUCACUGAAGGAGGGGAUUGCGUCUGAUUAGCUAGUUGGAGGGGUAACGGCCCACCAAGGCGAUGAUCAGUAGCCGGUCUGAGAGGAUGAACGACCACAUUGGGACUGAGACACGGCCCAGACUCCUACGGGAGGCAGCAGUGGGGAAUCUUCCGCAAUGGACGAAAGUCUGACGGAGCAACGCCGCGUGAGUGAUGACGGCCUUCGGGUUGUAAAGCUCUGUUAAUCGGGACGAAAGGCCUUCUUGCGAAUAGUUAGAAGG
rnacentral:rRNA from 1 species